GAAGGCAUGUGAUGUAAUUAAUCUUAUCCUACACUCUGAAUUUUAUGUAGACUACAAACUCUGCUUAUUAUCUGAUGCCAUC